GGCCUCGUAGCUCAAGUGGCUAGAGCGUUGGCUGUACUAAGGUCUUCCCCUUGCAGGUGUGAGUUCGAAUCCCACCGAGGCCG
rnacentral:tRNA from 1 species